AGGUCUGGCCCGAUUUUCCUGGUGUUGUUGUGAAUGAAUCUCUAGACUGGGACAGCCAAGUGGAGCUAUAUCGAGCUUACGUGGCCUUCCCAGACUUUUUCCGUAAUUCAACAACCAAGUGGUGGAAGAGGGAAAUAGAAGAACUAUACAACAAUCCACAGAAUCAGAGAAGACUUGAAGUUUGAUGGCCUGUGGAUUGAUAUGAAUGAACCAUCAAGCUUCGUGAAUGGGGCAGUUUCUCCAGGCUGCAGGGAGACCUCUCUGAACCGCCCUCCCUACAUGCCGU